rnacentral:rRNA from 1 species
AUCUUAUACUUGGGAGUCAGACUGUGGGUGAUAAGAUUCAUAGUCGAAAGGGCAACAGCCCAGAUCGUCAGCUAAGGUCCCUAAAUGUAAGUUAAGUGGUAAAGGAUGUGGGAUUGCACAGACAACCAGGAUGUUGGCUUAGAAGCAGCCACUCAUUCAAAGAGUGCGUAAUAGCUCACUGGUCGAGUGAUCCUGCGCCGAAGAUUUCCGGGGCUAAAACUUACUACCGAAGCUACGGCAUCAGUAAUGAUGGGUAGGGGAGCUUCCCAUACGGGUUGAAGCAUGACCGUAAGGACAUGUGGACAGUAUGGGAGUGAGAAUGUUGGCAUGAGUAGCGAGAUGUGGGUGAGAAUCCCACAGGCCGUAAACCCAAGGUUUCCAGGGGAAGGUUCGUCCACCCUGGGUUAGUCGGGACCUAAGCUGAGGCCGAAAGGCGUAGGUGAUGGACAACAGGUUGAUAUUCCUGUACUACCGAUAACCGUUUGAGAGAAGGGAUGACACAGUAGGAUAAGCUAAGCACACUGUUGGUUAUGUGUGCCCAAGCAUUGAGGCAGUCAAAGUAGGCAAAUCCGCUUUGAUAAUGCUGGGAUGUGAUGGGGAGCGAAAUUUAGUAGCGAAGUAGCUGAUUUCACACUGUCAAGAAAAGUCUCUAUCGAGGUUAAAGGUACCCGUACCGCAAACCGACACAGGUGGGUGAGGAGAGUAUCCUAAGGCCAGCGAGAGAACUGUUGUUAAGGAACUCGGCAAAAUGACCCCGUAACUUAGGGAUAAGGGGUGCCACCAUCAGGUGGCCGCAGAGAAUAGGCCCAAGCGACUGUUUACCAAAAACAUAGGUUUCUGCUAAGUCGCAAGACGAUGUAUAGGAGCUGACGCCUGCCCGGUGCUGGAAGGUUAAGGGGAUCUGUUAGAGCAAUCGAAGCAGUGAACUUAAGCCCCAGUAAACGGCGGCCGUAACUAUAACGGUCCUAAGGUAGCGAAAUUCCUUGUCGGGUAAGUUCCGACCCGCACGAAAGGCGUAACGAUUUGGGCACUGUCUCAACAACAGACUCGGUGAAAUUGUAAUUCCGGUGAAGAUGCCGGAUACCUGCGACAGGACGGAAAGACCCCAUGGAGCUUUACUGUAGCUUGACAUUGGGUCUUGGUACUACAUGUACAGGAUAGGUGGGAGGCUUUGAAACCAGGACGCCAGUUUUGGCGGAGCCAUCCUUGGGAUACCACCCUUGUAGUACUGGGACUCUAACCAUAGGCCAUGAAUCUGGUCUUGGGACACUGUCAGGUGGGCAGUUUGACUGGGGCGGUCGCCUCCCAAAAGGUAACGGAGGCGCUCAAAGGUUCUCUCAGUACGGUCGGAAAUCGUACGUAGAGUGUAAAGGCAAAAGAGAGCUUGAUUGCAAGACAUACAGGUCGAGCAAGGAUGAAAAUCGGACUUAGUGAUCCGGUGGUUCUGCGUGGAAGGGCCAUCGCUCAACGGAUAAAAGCUACCCUGGGGAUAACAGGCUUAUCUCCCCCAAGAGUCCACAUCGACGGGGAGGUUUGGCACCUCGAUGUCGGCUCAUCGCAUCCUGGGGCUGGAGAAGGUCCCAAGGGUUGGGCUGUUCGCCCAUUAAAGCGGUACGUGAGCUGGGUUCAGAACGUCGUGAGACAGUUCGGUCCCUAU